CAAGUGCAGCGUCUGCCCAGACUACGACUUGU
rnacentral:piRNA from 1 species